AUUGAACGCUGGCGGAAUGCUUUACACAUGCAAGUCGAACGAUGAACAAUAGCUUGCUAAGGGGAUUAGGGGCGAACGGGUGAGUAAUAUAUCGGAACGUACCUUGUAAUGGGGGAUAACUAGUCGAAAGAUUAGCUAAUACCGCAUACGCCCUGAGGGGGAAAGUAGGGGAUCUUCGGACCUUACGUUAUAAGAGCGGCCGAUAUCUGAUUAGCUAGUUGGUGGGGUAAUGGCCUACCAAGGCGACGAUCAGUAGCUGGUCUGAGAGGACGACCAGCCACACUGGAACUGAGACACGGUCCAGACUCCUACGGGAGGCAGCAGUGGGGAAUUUUGGACAAUGGGCGCAAGACUGAUCCAGCCAUUCCGCGUGAGUGAAGAAGGCCUUCGGGUUGUAAAGCUCUUUCGCAAGGGAAGAAAACUUACAUUCUAAUAAAGUGUGAGGCUGACGGUACCUUGAUAAGAAGCACCGGCUAACUACGUGCCAGCAGCCGCGGUAA
rnacentral:rRNA from 1 species